rnacentral:rRNA from 1 species
GCAUAUCAAUAAGCGGAGGAAAAGAAACCAACAGGGAUUGCCCUAGUAACGGCGAAGUGAAGCGGCAACAGCUCAAAUUUGAAAUCUGGCCCUUGGGUCCGAAUUGUAAUUUGUAGAGGAUGAUUUUGGUGCGGUAUCUUCCGAGUUCCUUGGAACAGGACGCCUUAGAGGGUGAGAGCCCCGUACGGUUGAAUGCCUAGCCUCUGUAAAUCUCCUUCGACGAGUCGAGUAGUUUGGGAAUGCUGCUCUAAAUGGGAGGUAAAUUUCUUCUAAAGCUAAAUACUGGCCAGAGACCGAUAGCGCACAAGUAGAGUGAUCGAAAGAUGAAAAGCACUUUGAAAAGAGGGUUAAAUAGCACGUGAAAUUGUUGAAAGGGAAGGAUUUAUGACCAGACUUUUUCUGGGCGGAUCAUCCGGUGUUCUCACCGGUGCACUUUGCCCAGUUUAGGCCAGCAUCGAUUUUCGGAGAGGGAUAAAAGCUUUGGGAAUGUGGCUCCUCCGGGAGUGUUAUAGCCCAUUGUAUAAUACCUUUCUGGGGAUCGAGGUACGCGCUUCUGCAAGGAUGCUGGCGUAAUGGUUAUCAAUCACCCGUCUUGAAACACGGACCAAGGAGUCGAACAUUUGUGCAAGUGUUUGGGUGUUAAACCCUCACGCGUAAUGAAAGUGAACGGAGGUGAGAGCCCUUACGGGUGCAUCAUCGACCGAUCCUGAAGUUUUCGGAUGGAUUUGAGUAAGAGCAUAACUGUUCGGACCCGAAAGAUGGUGAACUAUGCGUGGAUAGGGUGAAGCCAGAGGAAACUCUGGUGGAGGCUCGCAGCGGUUCUGACGUGCAAAUCGAUCGUCAAAUCUGCGCAUGGGGGGCGAAAGACUAAUCGAACCAUCUAGUAGCUGGUUACCGCCGA